rnacentral:rRNA from 1 species
UACGUAGGCAGCAAGCGUUGUUCGGAAUUACUGGGCGUAAAGAGUGUGUAGGCGGUGCUCUAAGUCUGUUGUGAAAUCUCCCGGCUUAACUGGGAGGGUGCGGCGGAAACCGGAAUGCUCGAGUAUGGGAGAGGUAAGCGGAAUUCCUGGUGUAGCGGUGAAAUGCGUAGAUAUCAGGAGGAACACCUGUGGUGUAGACAGCUUACUGGACCAUCACUGACGCUGAGACACGAAAGCGUGGGUAGCAAACAGG